rnacentral:lncRNA from 1 species
GCACUGUUGAUUCAUCUCUGACUACAGUGAAGGAUUUAAACCAGACGAGCUAAACAUGCCUGUGUUUGUAUGUUAGAAACAUACAACUCCACAAAAAAAGCUCCAUCUAAUGCUCAGAGGCAAAUAGCUUAUGCCCUGUUAUCAACAGAGUAAGAUCUAUGUAAUCUGUAGCUCAUCCUUUGCCAGUAUUUUCAUUUAAACUUAGCUCAGAUAUUAUCCUGAGCCAUCUGCUUUUGGUCACAUUUGCCUACAUACAGGAGCUAGACUGGUAGAUUGGCCAAAAAAAAAAAAAGCUGAACUACAUUAUUCAUUUUUUCAUUUUUAGGGAUUUUUAAAAUGGAGCAUUGUGAUUGUCAAGCAGAUGGCAAAAGGAGAUUUCUGUCUUCUUUUCUGCAAAUAAGCAGGGAUUCAGCAGGGAGUGUUACCAGUGCCUCCACUCUGCUGUCGGUAAUGAAGUGCUGCACUGUCAGGCGGGUGAGAAACCUUUGUUUCUGGAGUGCUGAUGAACAUCUUCCAUGGAAAAGGAAAAAAAAACACGUCAAGAGCUUUCUUGGCCAUCAUGUUGAGACGAUGUUCAGCUAGAAAAUAGAGGACAAAAAGACUGUGCAAAGUCAUUGAAAACAUAAAAAUCAGAAAAAAAGAAAGUAAAUUACUUACAAGAGCUGAAGAAGUUUCUGAAGGGAAGGUAGGGAUUUUCAGUUGUAAAAAGGAUAUGAUUGUUUUAACUUUUACUAUUUGGAAAAGAGAACUUUGGAAUUACAAUAAAGUUAUGGCAAGAUAAAAUAAGAUGUUUAAU